ACAAGGGCGCAUGGUGAAUGCCUUGGCACUAGGAGCCGAUGAAGGACGGGACUAACACCGAUAUGCUUCGGGGAGCUGUACGUAAGCUAUGAUCCGGAGAUUUCCGAAUGGGGCAACCCAGCAGUUUUAAUCAACUGUUACCACUAGAUGAAUUCAUAGUCUAGUUGGAGGUAAACGCUGUGAACUGAAACAUCUCAUUAGCAGCAGGAAUAUAAAGAAAUUUCGAUUCCCUAAGUAGCGGCGAGCGAACGGGGAACAGCCCAAACCAAAGUGCUUGCACUUUGGGGUUGUAGGACUGAACAUUUGAGUUACCAAAGAACUUGAUAGUCGAAGGAUUUGGGAAAAUCCGCCAUAGAUGGUGAUAGCCCAGUAGAUUAAAUCAAAUUCUCUCAGUUCAGGAUCCUGAGUACGGCGGAACACGUGAAAUUCCGUCGGAAUCCGGGAGGACCAUCUCCCAAGGCUAAAUACUACCUAGUGACCGAUAGUGAACCAGUACCGUGAGGGAAAGGUGAAAAGCACCCCGGGAGGGGAGUGAAAUAGUUCCUGAAACCAUGUGCCUACAAUAAGUCAGAGCGCGUUAAUGCGUGAUGGCGUGCCUUUUGUAGAAUGAACCGGCGAGUUAUGAUCCCGUGCAAGGUUAAGACUAAAAAGUCGGAGCCGUAGCGAAAGCGAGUCUGAAAUGGGCGUUUUGAGUACGAGGUUAUAGACCCGAAACCAGGUGACCUAUCCAUGUCCAGGUUGAAGGUGCGGUAAAACGCACUGGAGGACCGAACCCGUGUAAGUUGAAAAUUGCUGGGAUGAGGUGUGGAUAGCGGUGAAAUUCCAAACGAACUUGGAGAUAGCUGGUUCUCUCCGAAAUAGCUUUAGGGCUAGCCUCGGAAUUAGGAUCAUGGAGGUAGAGCACUAUUUGGACUAGGGGCCCGUCUUGGGUUACUGAAUUCAGAUAAACUCCGAAUGCCAUUGAUUCAUAUCCGGGAGUCAGACGAUGAGUGAUAAGAUCCACCGUCGAAAGGGGAACAGCCCAGACCAUCAGUUAAGGUCCCUAAAUGUAUGCUAAGUGGAAAAGGAUGUGGAGUUGCAUAGACAACUAGGAUGUUGGCUCAGAAGCAGCCACCAUUUAAAGAGUGCGUAAUAGCUCACUAGUCGAGUGAUCCUGCGCCGAAAAUGUACCGGGGCUAAGCAUACUACCGAAACCAUGGAUGCGACCAUUAGGUCGCGUGAUAGGAGAGCGUUCUAAGGGCGGUGAAGCAAGAUCGUGAGGACUUGUGGAGCGCUUAGAAGUGAGAAUGCCGGUAUGAGUAGCGAAAGAUAGGUGAGAAUCCUAUCCACCGAAUGACUAAGGUUUCCUGGGGAAGGCUCGUCCUCCCAGGGUUAGUCGGGACCUAAGUCGAGGCCGAGAGGCGUAGACGAUGGAUAACAGGUUGAGAUUCCUGUACUAGUUAAGUGCGUUUGAGCAAUGGAGGGACGCAGGAGGCUAAGAUGUGCAUUCUGUUGGAUUAGAAUGUCCAAGCAGUAAGUCUUGUGAAGAGUCAAAUGCUUUUCACUUUAAGGACAAGCUGUGAUGGGGAGCGAAAUUUAGUAGCGAAGCGUCUGAUGUCACACUGCCGAGAAAAGCUUCUAGUGAGUACUUAACUACCCGUACCGCAAACCGACACAGGUAGUCGAGGAGAGAAUCCUAAGGUGAGCGAGUGAACUCUCGUUAAGGAACUCGGCAAAAUGACCCCGUAACUUCGGGAGAAGGGGUGCUGAUCGCAAGAUCAGCCGCAGUGAAUAGGCCCAGGCGACUGUUUAUCAAAAACANNNNNNNNNNCGUGAAGAUGCGGACUACCCGCGACAGGACGGAAAGACCCCAUGGAGCUUUACUGUAGCUUGAUAUUGAGUGUUUGUACAGCUUGUACAGGAUAGGUAGGAGCCAUAGAAACCGGAACGCUAGUUUCGGUGGAGGCGUUGGUGGGAUACUACCCUCGCUGUAUGACCACUCUAACCCGCACCACUAAUCGUGGUGGGAGACAGUGUCAGGUGGGCAGUUUGACUGGGGCGGUCGCCUCCUAAAAAGUAACGGAGGCGCCCAAAGGUUCCCUCAGAAUGGUUGGAAAUCAUUCGCAGAGUGUAAAGGCACAAGGGAGCUUGACUGCGAGACAGACAGGUCGAGCAGGGACGAAAGUCGGGCUUAGUGAUCCGGUGGUACCGUAUGGAAGGGCCAUCGCUCAACGGAUAAAAGCUACCCUGGGGAUAACAGGCUUAUCUCCCCCAAGAGUCCACAUCGACGGGGAGGUUUGGCACCUCGAUGUCGGCUCAUCGCAUCCUGGGGCUGUAGUCGGUCCCAAGGGUUGGGCUGUUCGCCCAUUAAAGCGGUACGCGAGCUGGGUUCAGAACGUCGUGAGACAGUUCGGUCCCUAUCCGUCGCGGGCGUAGGAAAUUUGAGAGGACCUGUCCUUAGUACGAGAGGACCGGGAUGGACAUACCUCUGGUGUACCAGUUGUGCCGCCAGGCGCAUCGCUGGGUAGCUACGUAUGGAUGUGAUAAACGCUGAAAGCAUCUAAGUGUGAAACACACCUCGAGAUGAGAUUUCCCAUUCCUUUAUGGAAGUAAGACCCCUGAAAGAUGAUCAGGUAGAUAGGUUAGAAGUGGCAGUGCGGUGACGCAUGAAGCGGACUAAUACUAAUCGGUCGAGGACUUAACC
rnacentral:rRNA from 1 species